UCAGCCUAGGUCAGGUCAGACGGAUCGAGAUGGUGUCCCCGUCCCAGCUCCUUGGGCUCCUGAUGCUCUGGGUCUCAGGUUCCAGUGGACAGACAGUGCUGACUCAGUCUCCAGUCCUUCUAGCCGCGUCUCCAGGUCAGAAGGUCACCAUGAAAUGCCAAGCCAGUAAGAAUAUUACCCACAGUGAUGGGAUCAACUACUUACACUGGUACCAGCAGAAACCCGGACAGUCUCCCAAGCUGCUCAUCUACAAAGCCUCCACCCUGCAUACCGGGGUCCCGGCUCGGUUCAGCGGCAGCGGGUCUGGGAAGGAUUUCACUCUCACCAUCAGUGAUGUUGAAGCUGGCGACGUUGCAGAUUAUUACUGUCAAUUUUGGCCUGGCACACGGUGCUCCAUUCCCGUACAAAAUCCUCCCCCAGCUGGCUGAUCGGUGGUGCUUGGCUGCCCCAGCUGCUCUCCCUCUUCCUGCAGCUGCUGUGGGGCUUCUCAGAGGCAGCAUCUUUCGCCCUGUGGUGUUGA